UUUUGUUCACAGCUCAUUCCUAGCUAAGACAUAACGGCGGGUAGGCAAACAACUUGAUUCAGGUCAAUACAAUACUCUUCUUCGAACUUGCAAGCUUGGGACACAAGCGUAAACUGAAAAAGAAGUAAGACCAGGUACACUGCUAAACAUAAGUAUAAAGAGGUGGAAGGCUGGCCGUGCUUGUGCUCACCUACAGGUCUGUCCCAGCAUACAGUAUCGAAAAAGACUGUCUCUUAUUUUUGAUUUGUCUAAAUCAGCGUAUAUUAACUAAUACUACUUUAUCCAGUCAAUAAUGAAUUGAAAGGUCGUCUUUAAUUCAAAAGUGCAUAAGCAAGCAAGGAACGGAAGGCAUGCUAACUACACUACUAGAGUCAAGAAAAAAAACGACACUACAAACCAAACUACUUGAGUAAGAAUCAAAGCUUAUUGAAGAUGCUAGAAAAUCUAUGAACAAGUACCAGGUUAGUAAUUCAAUUGUGAUAUCUUCUGCAGCGUUUUCUCUCUGUUGCUAUUCUCAGCACUUUGGAAAGUAUCUAUGCAAAGGAAUUAGUAUUAAGAAUAGCUUGGUUUGGUGCAAAUGUAAUAUAAAAAAGGCAUUCCCCUAUAUGCUGUUAGAUGUACUGCAAAAAGGUCAAGUUAAAGAAAUAUUAGGAAAAUUGUUUCGGCUNNNNNNNNNNAUAAGUAUAAAGAGGUGGAAGGCUGGCUGUGCUUGUGCUCACCUACAGGUCUGUCCCAGCAUACAGUAUCGAAAAAGACUGUCUCUUAUUUUUGAUUUGUCUGAAUCAGCGUAUAUUAACUAAUACUACUUUAUCCAGUCAAUAAUGAAUUGAAAGGUCGUCUUUAAUUCAAAAGUGCAUAAGCAAGCAAGGAACGGAAGGCAUGCUAACUACACUACUAGAGUCAAGAAAAAAAACGACACUACAAACCAAACUACUUGAGUAAGAAUCAAAGCUUAUUGAAGAUGCUAGAAAAUCUAUGAACAAGUACCAGGUUAGUAAUUCAAUUGUGAUAUCUUCUGAAGCGUUUUCUCUCUGUUGCUAUUCUCAGCACUUUGGAAAGUAUCUAUGCAAAGGAAUUAGUAUUAAGAAUAGCUUGGUUUGGUGCAAAUGUAAUAUAAAAAAGGCAUUCCCCUAUAUGCUGUUAGAUGUACUGCAAAAAGGUCAAGUUAAAGAAAUAUUAGGAAAAUUGUUUCGGCUGUCUGUGCUAUCAUUUUUCUGGAAGCUUUUAAGCCUGUUGUCCAGAUGCUGCUGCCUAAAAGUAGUUCUUUUAAAUUGUUUUCUUGUGGUCUUGUUCUCUGUAUUGUUUUUGGAAACAAAGUACUCUGUAUUGUUCAUGUGNNNNNNNNNNAAUCAGCGUAUAUUAACUAAUACUACUUUAUCCAGUCAAUAAUGAAUUGAAAGGUCGUCUUUAAUUCAAAAGUGCAUAAGCAAGCAAGGAACGGAAGGCAUGCUAACUACACUACUAGAGUCAAGAAAAAAAACGACACUACAAACCAAACUACUUGAGUAAGAAUCAAAGCUUAUUGAAGAUGCUAGAAAAUCUAUGAACAAGUACCAGGUUAGUAAUUCAAUUGUGAUAUCUUCUGCAGCGUUUUCUCU
rnacentral:lncRNA from 1 species